AUACGUAAGGGGCGAGCGUUGUUCGGAAUCAUUGGGCGUAAAGGGUGCGUAGGCGGGAAGCCAAGUCGUAUGUGCAAUAUAAAGGCUCAACUUUUAUACCGCGUAUGAAACUCGCUUUCUAGAGGUUUGCAGAGGUUAGCGGAAUUCCUGGUGUAGGAGUGAAAUCUAUAGAUAUCAGGAAGAACACCGAUGGCGAAGGCAGCUAACUGGGCUUUACCUGACGCUGAAGCACGAAAGCCAGGGUAGCGAACGGGAUUAGAUACCCCGGUAGUCCUGGCAGUAAACGUUGUAUACUAGGUGUCUGAAGUAUCGAUCCUUCGGGUGCCGGAGCAAACGCAUUAAGUAUACCGCCUGGGGAGUACGGUCGCAAGACUGAA
rnacentral:rRNA from 1 species